rnacentral:rRNA from 1 species
GAGCGCCCCCGCAAGGGGAGCGGCAGACGGGUGAGUAACGCGUGGGAACGUACCCUUUGCUACGGAAUAGCUCCGGGAAACUGGAAUUAAUACCGUAUGUGCCCUACGGGGGAAAGAUUUAUCGGCAAAGGAUCGGCCCGCGUUGGAUUAGCUAGUUGGUGGGGUAAUGGCCUACCAAGGCGACGAUCCAUAGCUGGUCUGAGAGGAUGAUCAGCCACAUUGGGACUGAGACACGGCCCAAACUCCUACGGGAGGCAGCAGUGGGGAAUAUUGGACAAUGGGCGCAAGCCUGAUCCAGCCAUGCCGCGUGAGUGAUGAAGGCCUUAGGGUUGUAAAGCUCUUUCACCGGAGAAGAUAAUGACGGUAUCCGGAGAAGAAGCCCCGGCUAACUUCGUGCCAGCAGCCGCGGUAAUACGAAGGGGGCUAGCGUUGUUCGGAAUUACUGGGCGUAAAGCGCACGUAGGCGGGCAUUUAAGUCAGGGGUGAAAUCCCAGAGCUCAACUCUGGAACUGCCUUUGAUACUGGGUGUCUUGAGUAUGGAAGAGGUAAGUGGAAUUCCGAGUGUAGAGGUGAAAUUCGUAGAUAUUCGGAGGAACACCAGUGGCGAAGGCGGCUUACUGGUCCAUACUGACGC